CUUAUAUCCAUCACUGUAGGACUUGGGUUUAAGCUUUCCCCAGCCCCUUUUCAUCAAUGGACUCCUGACGUCUACGAAGGAGUGUGGUUCGUUCGACAAUCCUACCUCUAUAUCUAUCUCUGAGGUGUUUGGGUUUUGCAAAACUCCAUAGACAUGCAGAAGAGAAAUGCUAUCCCCACUCCGACCAAGAUAGAACUUUUACCAAAAGUUUAUUGUGAUAUUUUUGUUCAAAUAACAAUUAAGGUGAAGCAGGUCAGGAACAAUGAAUCUCUUUAUGAUAAACAGAUCCAUUUUGCAAGUUCGUUAUUACGGGUAGUUCCUACAAAGAAUCGGACUAAUGACGUAUACAAUGCUUGA
rnacentral:rRNA from 1 species